rnacentral:rRNA from 1 species
CAGCCGCCGCGGGAACACGUAGGGCGCAAGCGUUGUCCGGAAUUAUUGGGCGUAAAGAGCUCGUAGGCGGUCUGUCGCGUCUGGUGUGAAAUCCCGAGGCUCAACCUCGGGCUUGCAUCGGGUACGGGCAGACUAGAGUGCGGUAGGGGAGACUGGAAUUCCUGGUGUAGCGGUGGAAUGCGCAGAUAUCAGGAGGAACACCGAUGGCGAAGGCAGGUCUCUGGGCCGCAACUGACGCUGAGGAGCGAAAGCAUGGGGAGCGAACAGGAUUAGAUACCCCAGUAGUCCCUGUCUCUUAUAC